rnacentral:rRNA from 1 species
GACGAACGCUGGCAGCGUGCUUAACACAUGCAAGUCGAACGAAGUGGCGAACGGGUGAGUAAUACGUGGGUACCCUGCCCUCCUUUUUUGGAUAAGCCUUGGAAACUAGGUCUAAUACCGAAUAACGGCUGAUGGGCUCGCGGCCUAUCGGCUGGUUGGUGGGGUGCUGGACUACCAAGGCGUUGCCGGGUAGCCGGCCUGAGAGGGUGACCGGGCACAGUGGGACGGAGAUACGGCCCAGAGUCCGACGGGAGGGAGCAGUGGGGGAUAUUGGAGAAAGGGCGAAAGACUGAGGCAGCGACGGCGCGGGGGGGAUGAAGGCUGUCGGGUUGUAAACCUCGUUGGCUAUCGAACGGGUAGGUGGAGAAGAAGCGCCGGCUAACUACGUGCCAGCAGCCGCGGUAAUAC